CUCAUUCGACGACGUCCCCUUCGACUUCGCUCCUUCGACGACGUUCCCUUCCUGUCUGAUCGGAAGUUAGGACAUUUGAACAAAAGCAACCACGGGAGCUCACUCGUUGUGACGGAGGUAACUUUCUCCCUUUUCGCGAGCUUCUGUUCUAUCACAAAGCUCACUCGUUGUGAAGGUAACUUGUUCCUCCUUCUCUUUCUUCUGUAACAUCGCGCCUCCAUCUUUUCGGAUGACGACGCAAAUCGGCAAAAAUCUUCUGUACUUUUUGGGAUGUCUUGUUCAGUAUCUUCUUACUUUUACUUUUAAGAAAUGGUUUACAUGUUUAUACUUAUCAUGUGAUUAAAGCAGACUAUUUAUUUGGUCGUAUAUUUGUUUUUGUUUUGGUGUUGGGAUGUGGACAUUUUGUUGAAUUCACGCUAGCUUGCACUGUAACUUUUUUCAUUCAAGGAAUUGGUGAAGAUAUAAGCUACCUACAUCUUUUCAAAAUAUAUAAAAUGAUUAUUAACUAACACAUAUCUUCAUUUGCUAUCAUUGCAUACUGUUGCCCUGUUAAUUCAGGUUAUUUGUCCCUGAUAUGAAAUCAUUGUAGCUGUAACAUGACAUUAUACCCUAACAAAAUGUGGGAUUGGCAUUCUAAUGUUCAAGUCAUUGGUAAACUUUUAUCUUUUUUGAAUUGAAACCCUUCAAAUUGAAAAGGUGCAGAGAGAUAGGGACUGUGUUACAUUAUAGUGAAAAAGUGCACAGACUCGGAUAUUUUCCUGGUCCAUCAGCAAAAACUCUUAGUUGUUGCUUAAGCUGGGUGGGAAAGCAUUUUAAAAUUUUUUAGCUUUUUACUGGGUACCCUGCAUACGCAUAGUUAAUGAAGGUCAUUUUUAAAUUUCCAACUUGCACAAUUAAUGAAAGGUCAUUUUUAAUAAAAUAGAAUUCAAAUAUAGUUUGAUAGGAUUUAGCAUAAAAUAAAAGUUAAUGAAAGGUCAUUUUGAUAUCAAAUACCUAGCACACACCAAAAAAUAGAAUUUUUCACAGCAAUUGUUUAGAGCAAUUUUAAAAUCAUUGCCAAAACCCUGAUUUAGAACCAAUUUGGACAGCUACAUUUUGCACCAGUUUUAACCUGUAGAGUUAGAACCGGUUUUAACCGUCGGUAAAGCCCCGCCAUUAAACCAAAUCCCUAAUUCCCAAUCUUAUACGUGAGAGCUCGACUUUUCCAACUGAACCUCAUCUUCCUCACUGGCUUAACGCUUAUUUUCCUAGCCAAUCACCACGAGCAUAUCCUUUAUUGUGUUAUUUUAUUCUUUAAUAUAAUCAGCUUUAUUACUUUAAAAGGUGAGAAUAGGAUAUUAUCAUCUCUAACAUGCUUUAUCUCUCUUCAUUUAGUAAUGCAAUAAUAUGAAUAUUAUAUUCCAUGUCAAAUUUUAUCUAUAUGAUUGAACUUAUCACCAAUCCUUUAUGAUUUAUCAUUCAUGCUAAGCUAUAUGAUUAAAAGUAUCACCAAUCCUAUAUGAAUAUUUUUAUCAUCAUAAUAGUAAAAUUAAAGUUUGAGAGGCUUGAAAAAUGAAGCUAAUGGCUACCUUCCUUCUGUUCUUCUUAUUGCUAAGAGUUACCUGAAGGUAAUUAGUUUGAGAUAUAAUAUGAUCACAAGUCUAUGAACAUGAUGGUUGCAUAAAAAAUUGAGUGACCUAAUGAAUCUUUAUUCUUAACAGUGACUUGGAAAAUCAUUUUUCACUUAAUAUGGAUAAGAGUUGGAUUACAAAAGCCAAGUGGAGUCGUGAUUAUGUAACUGGUGUAAACAAUUUCUUAGAGUUUGCAAGUCGAAGUCAGAAUUUAUCUGGGAAAAUUUUAUGUCCGUGCAAGUCAUGCAUUAAUAGGUACUUUCAUUCUAUGAAAGAUGUGAAAGACCAUUUAAUUUCCAAAGGUUUUUUUGCUGGAUAUGUUGUAUGGAAUCGACAUGGGGAAGAGCAUUGUAUUAUAGAUGAAUAUGCAAUGAAUAAAGCAUCUGGUGCCACACCAAAGUUAAAGGAAGGCGAAGCUUCUUCUAAGAUACAAGCUUGCGUGCUUUUGGCUGAGGAUGGGCUGAUACCAGAUGAUAGGAAUGUGAAGGCUAACGAAAUGGUGUUCAAUAUGGUUAUGAGACCUGAACACCCAUAAAGAGUCAGGACCCAAGGAUUUGGUGUCACUCCUACACGAUAUUUUCCUCAUAGCACGAAUGAGGGUAGGAAUAGUGGUGGAAGCUGUUUAAGUCAAAUAGUAAAUCUCAGAGAGGAGGUGAACUCAUUACGUACUGAAAUGAGAGAAUCCAUGCAACAAUUUCAAAUGCAGCAUCCAUCUCAAGGAAGCUCAAAAAUGUGACCACCCAUUGUUAAUUCUGGCUCGAGCUCAUAAGUCAAACUCGAAGCCACUAUUUUUCUGGCGAGUGGAGCUCAAGUACAGCAUUUAAGCUUGACUCCAGUAUGACCGUACCACUUAGCACAAAGCUUGAAUUAGCCCUAACUUCUGCUUGACUCUCCUCAUUGACACACCUGUCACUCAUUAUUCAAUUGGUAAGACUUCUAGCUUUCCUAUGAUUAUUGUAAGUUCCAUUGGAAUUUUCUCACCUCUUAAAAACACAUUUUUUUUUUUUAUAACCCUAUUUCCUCUUCACUCAGCCAUGAAAAUUCUUUUUCCAUGUACAAUCUAUUUUUAGAUUUUUUUCAACCAACCCUAUUACUAGAACUAGUCAUCUUAUUUUAAAGUAUGAUUUCGCUUGUGACAUUUUUUUUUAUUGAUUUUAAAAUAAUUUUUUAGUACAAAAAUUUUUAAUUUAAAAAAAAUUUGUGCUAAAAAACUGUUUUGAGAAGCCCAAGUUUGAUUCAAUUAAAGAAUUCUAAUUUAUCACUCUUAGCAUUCUGUUUUGCAAGGUUAAUAGGUUCUCUCCUUUUAAAUUCCACCAUCUUAUCCUAGGAUCAUACUUUCUUUUAAUUAUUUUACGUAAGCUCCUAAUAUAUAAAUCUAUAAUGACUAUCAUAUAUUGUGCAGUUAAUUCUUCUCUUAAAAUCGCUUUAUGAUAUUUUCAAGAAGAUUUCUCAUUCCUUCUAACCAUGAAGAAAAUUAUUUAUGAAUUGUUAACCCCAUUUUCUUAAGUAACAAAGUGUUCUCAUUUCUGUAAGUACAUAUUUGCAAUUACCAGGCCUCACUAGAUAAUGCAACCUAUGAUUGAGAACAAUGAUUCUUUGAUUAGAUUGGUUUGAAUAUUUCUAUUAACUAUGUAGACUAAGGUUCCUGACUACUUACUACGAUGAAAUUAUAGGAUCUUGUCAAGUUUAUCAUUAUUCCAUCAUCAUGCGCUCAAAUUCCAUAACAGUAUAUUAUUUUCUCUAAUCCAAAUUAUUACUACUAAAGCAAAGCAUCGUAGAGGUUUGGACUAGUCUUUAUCAAAAGUACUUACUCGUGAUUUAGAGAGCUGAUUAACCAUGGGGGGGGCGGCUAGCACUUAUAAGAAACCUUAAACUGAAUACUAAAGUCUCAUAAGUGGAAGAAAUAUGUAGUCACUAUCUUUAUAAUUCAGUUUACUUAUUGAAAAAUCAAUCUUAAUACCAACUUGAGCAUUCAGUAGAGGGAGAUUAAGAUGUUUCUGAAUUUAUGAAAUCUUAGAUAUAUAAAAGAUAAAUUAAUGAAAAAUCAAACAUACAUAUAAAAAAAGAAAUUGAAUUUAUAUUGGCAAAUUCAAAGAAACUAAGCUUUAAGAAAACCACACAUGCUCAAAUGUUCCUCAAAAAUAGUUUAUAUAAAAAAAAGCCUUAGCUACAUACUGAGUUUUGCGACCAAGGAAGCUUAGAAGAAGAAGACUUAGAGAGUUAAUCAAAACACUAAAGAAAUAGUUCAGAGUGCUAAUAGAUUGUAAAUCUCUAGAUUUUGGAGGCAUUUAUAGAAUAUGGAGACUCAAAUGGGAAGAAUAAAUAAGUCUUAGGAGAUCUGUAGCCAAAUUCAAAACUUGGGUACAUAAAGUAUGAACAUUUAAUGCCUAAUCAAAACUCUGGGCAAAUGUGACAAGAGGUUACUUUGAACCAAUAAGACAAGAUGUUGCUAUUGAGGAGACUUGAGAUUUGAUGAAAUAUUGUUUAAAACAAAAUGCAAAGAAAAAAUUGGGACUGUUAGAGAAGGUUAUCUCUUGUUAAGUGAUCUAAAGGAUGAACUAUAAGUGUUUGUCAAUUUAAAAAUAAAAUAAAAUAGAUCAAUAGAAUUUUUUGGCACAUCUGUAAUAUUAUGAUGGCCAACUUUAGUCUAUAAUUGUCCAUAAAAAAUGAUUGGAAGACAAACUAAAUUGUUUGGUCGAUUUUUAGAGAAAAUUGGCUAGUCCUCUUUAUUAAGCUAGACGAUCAUUUUUGGGAAAACUAUAAAUUAGUCAGCAUGGCAUAGUUUGAUAAAGGAUUUUUUUUUUUUUUCAAAUACAAAUGGUGUUCCAUACUAUUGCUAACUACAUCAUUGAAAUAAAGAAUUUGAGCAUCCUUAUUGUCUGCCUUAUAUAUCUAGAGUAAUUUUUUCUUGAUUUUUUUAGUUUUGCUUAUAGUAAGGCCUAUGAAAUAAAUGAAAAAAAAAACUCGUAAAUACACUUUGGCAGCAUUUAAGAAUUGAUCACCAUUAGCAUUUGCCUUCAAUUGGAUUGAAGUGCUUUUGGCUUCUCCUCAAGAUAAAGCACCAUUAGUAAUUUAGGGUAUAUCUCUGAUGUGGACAUCGACCAGAGGUUCAGACAUGUGUAUCGUCGUAGACAGCGCAGAUCGACGGCCGCGAUUCAGAGUUUAUAUUUCUAGAUAUUUAUGUAUUUUUUUAUUCAUUUUUCUUUUUAUUUCCUAUUGU